rnacentral:lncRNA from 1 species
CACGUUUUUGAAAAGUUUGGGGCCUUUAAAGGUUUGGAUAUAAAUAUUUGGGACCUCUUCUGCAAUUAUUCCUAAAAUAAAAUUGGCCCACGACGCCGGUGAUAGUUGAUACUCACCCGCUGUAAAAUGAAGCUCCGACUUUAAAACCACAUUGUUGCCGCCAUUUUAGUUGAUCUCGAAUCAAUCAAGAGAAGCUGUGAGAGAAAAGCACAGAGAAACUUUCAAUACUUAAUCUUAGGGUUUGUACAAAAUUAACCGUUCACAUUUGAAUAUUUCGUUACAGUCUCUCGAAUUUUUGUCACUGUUACAAAAAGUAUGAAGCCCUACUACACAAAUUCAUAUUUCGGACCAGGUUUAUGUUUCAUACAUUACCAUUUCCGAUUCUACAAAUUUUCCGAGUUUCAAUUUCUUUUAUAUAUAAUUACAGUAAAUCGGAUUUGUAAAUUGAAUUUCUUCCGGAGAACAAUCAUUUUUUAGGUAGGUCGUUAUUUGAUUCUAAGCCUUUUUUGUAUUUUAUUGUGAAUAUCUUCGAAUUAGUUUUUCAAUUUAAAGCUAAUUUCAGGUUUUUGAUCCAUCAUUGUGCAGAGAACUAGAAAUUUGAAGUUUUUAUGAAGAAUUGUGGUUGAUGUCCGGGCAAGUCUAAUUAAAUGUUUGAUUUCAUAGAAAAAGUAAACAAUAAAGUAAAGGAGACUGGAAAUCAUUACUUUUCUCCCCCACUAUUCGUAACACAACAUAAAUAACACAUAAUUUAACUCAACUGUAUGUCUCAGCCGCUCAGCUGUAUUCAUCAUUUUUGUCAUGAUUUUAUAUGCUCACGAUUAUGUAGAGGUUUGAUGAUUAUACUCAUCUCUAGCUAAAUACUUUACAUAUGUUUGUUGGAUGCUUAAUAAUAUUGUUUGCAACGAAAACAUUUUUUAAUUUUGCUUACUUAGGUUAACCUCUUUAUCUAUGCCAAUUUUUAGGUUUUUGCAUGCUAUAUCAUAGUCCUGAAAAAUCUAAAUUUUGAUUUGAAAAGUAUCUACCUGUUAUAUAUUACCUAACGUUUGAACAGCUAUAGAUGCUAAAUCCAUCAUCUUCCCUUUCCUGUGGGUUUCUUUUAUUGUUGGACAGUGAAUUAUUAUGUACUUUCUCCGAGGUGAAUAGAUUAGCUUUAAUAUUCAAAUGCACGCAAAAAUGACAUCCUUCGAUUAAUAACCCCAAUGUUUGUUUAUUGGAAGACUGAGAAUUGCUUAUAAGGAUCUGCUUUGGCAGCCAACUCCCGCUGUUUAAAUUUUUAAUAGGAGCGCAGGUCAUGUUUUUACCAAGUUAUUUUUUUUAAUUCUCUCAAAUAUUGUAUCUGGGAAAGACAUUAUGCACAUUCGGCAACCUUAUAAAAUGACAAGUUGUAAUCUGUCUGAAUUCAAAUUGGUGAAGUGCCGUUGGUCAGUAGGACGUCUUUGACAUCACGUAAGAACAUUUUAGUUGUCAACAUCCAGUUUGCUGACUGUCUUUCUCCCAAG